UCUUCUACCUUAAACCCUGAUUAGAUUUCACAGUACACGACUAGCCAUAGGCCUGUAAGGCGCAUUGCUCCCUCCAAACAUCCUCCAAAUUAACUCAGAGAAUUCAUUUCCUUUUCAGUUACCCACUCGGUCCAAUGCAAGCGCUCUCAAAAUCGCGCAAGCUCGCUAGGGUUUUGAAACCCCCAAUUAUCGGCGACACCAAUCACGGAGCUCUUCCUUCUCUUUCUCAAAUCCUUCAUUCUCCUCAAUGGCAAGGCCAAGAAGCUUUCUUUUCUCAAAUUUCGUUCUUUUCAGGCUUUAGUCAAGGCAGUUAUGUCCAGAUACCAUCUGUGCCGGUUUAUUCAAUGACAUGGGGGGCGUCUUUUUCUACGAAAGCAGGAAGUGCUGAGAGCAGUCCAACAGAGGCUGUGAAGGAACUAUAUGAUAAAAUGCUGGAAUCUGUAAAUGUUAAGCGAUCAAUGCCCCCAAAUGCCUGGUUGUGGUCACUGAUUGAAAAUUGUCAGAAUCAAGAUGAUAUUGAACUUUUAUUUGACAUUUUGCAGAAUCUUCGAAGAUUUAGAUUGUCAAAUCUUCACAUUCAUGCCAAUUUUAAUUGCAAUCUUUGCAGAGAAAUUGCUAAGACAUGUGUUCGUGUUGGGGCCCUUGACUUUGGAAAGAAAACUUUGUGCAAACAUAACGUAUAUGGAUUGAGUCCUAGUAUUGGUUCGGCCCACCAUUUACUGUCAUAUGCUCAAGAUCACAAGGAUUUAGAGCUCAUGGUUGAAAUUCUAAAACUAGUGACGAGGAAUGGUUUACCAUUACAACCUGGCACGGCUGAUAUUGUUUUUAGGAUUUGUUACGAUCUGAAUAAUUGGGAGUUGCUGACCAAGUAUUCAAAAAGGUUUGCAAAAGCUGGAGUUAAAUUUCGGAAAACGACAUUUGACACAUGGAUGACAUUUGCUGCCAAAAUAGGAGACAAUAAGUCAUUAUGGGAAAUUGAGAAGAAGAGAUUCGAGUCUUUCAAGCAUCACACUCUUGCUAGUGGAUUUUCAUGUGUGAAGGGUCUUCUACUUGAACACAAGCCUGAGGAUGCUGCUGCUGUUAUUGAAGUCCUUAAUCAGACUCUACCCGAUGAGAAGAAGUCAGUUAUCAUGGUCGAACUUCAGAAGUUGGUAAAUGAAUGGCCUUUGGAUGUUGUUAAACACCAAAUGGGGGACGAUAAGGGAUUGGCUGCUGCUUUGAACACUGAUGUUACUACCAUGGUUACCCAUCUUCAAAAGACUGGAUUAGGUGCUCCUUUGAAAGACACUAUUCCUAUCUAAUGUGGGAGGCUGCAUGAGCAUUUAUUGGUACCUUUCUCACUUGAAGCAAGGCUAUUAUUGACUGAAAGAUUUGCUCCCACAUCUUCAGCCUUGUGUUUAUGAAGAUGGUGAAGACUUGUGCAGUGCGCCAACACUGUCGAAUUGGUGAUUGAAUCUCGGAAAAAAAGACUACAUUGCUGGAUAUAGUUACAUCGAUUGAGGAGUUUGGAUUUGAGUACAUCUAGCAUCCUCCCAUUUAGUUCAGAUGGAAUUCUUUGACUUAUUCAGUCUUGUUAUCUCCCCUUUUAGGCAUCUAAUAUGCAUGCAAGACUUUCACUCAAUGUAUUGUAGCCUUACAAAAUAAAGAGCAAACCAGGUGAUCUGUCAACUUGGAAUCAAAGCUAAAGAAACCUAUAACUGUUGAUAGAGAAAUUAUGAAAAAAUGGGAUGAUCAUCAUGUUAACUGAUUGCUUUAA